rnacentral:rRNA from 1 species
AGUGAACGCUGGCGGUAGGCCUAACACAUGCAAGUCGAACGGCAGCACAGUAAGAGCUUGCUCUUACGGGUGGCGAGUGGCGGACGGGUGAGGAAUACAUCGGAAUCUACUUUUUCGUGGGGGAUAACGUAGGGAAACUUACGCUAAUACCGCAUACGAUCUACGGGUGAAAGCAGGGGAUCUUCGGACCUUUCGCGAUUGAAUGAGCCGAUGUCGGAUUAGCUAGUUGGCGGGGUAAAGGCCCACCAAGGCGACGAUCCGUAGCUGGACUGAGAGGAUGAUCAGCCACACUGGAACUGAGACACGGUCCAGACUCCUACGGGAGGCAGCAGUGGGGAAUAUUGGACAAUGGGCGCAAGCCUGAUCCAGCCAUACCGAGUGGGUGAAGAAGGCCUUCGGGUUGUAAAGCCCUUUUGUUGGGAAAGAAAAGCAGCAGGUUAAUACCCCGCUGUUCUGACGGUACCCAAAGAAUAAGCACCGGCUAACUUCGUG